AAUAACCGCCGUCUCGUUACAGAGUGAAAGUAGCAGUUCCUCCUUAAGGUCAGAGAUUGCAGCAUCUGAGGGCCUCUUCAAAAGAAGACGUAGUUGAUGAAGGCGUUCUGGAGCAGGACCAGAAAGACCACGACCAAGCAGCCUUGAGAUCUUAGGCAGCAUCUCCCUCAGGUCCCUCUCUAUCUCCCUACACAUCCACCAACCACUGGAACACAUCUCCAAAGUUCUGCUGGGCCAGCUCAGCUUCCCCUCAGAAGAAGUGCCGCCACCUGCCAGAUGAAGGAGCCUUUUGAGAGGCAGCUGGCAUCGUGAUUGGACUGUACUUUGGUCUGUUCCAAUCCAGCUUCAGCUCCAGAGACGGCAGGCGGGACGAGUCAACGGAGGCCGGGUGGACGAAGGCAUGCAGCUGAGUACAAUCCAGAAAACAACAGAGGAGGAGUGCAGCAGCCCAGAGCCAGAACAACAGAGUAGCAUCGUAUGUCUCUUAGAAAACAUCAUAGUAUAGCCUUUGGUAUGAAAAAACGCCAUCAUAUACAUCGUAUAUUGUACAAAUAACAAGUCAAAGGAAAGAGACAUACAUUGUAGAAUUGUAGUAAUUGUGGGCUGACUGAUUUACUGAUUAUCAGUAUUUUAUUUUUUACUGAUUUACGGUAAUAAAUACAUUUAAAAAUGGC